AGGUAUAUUAGGGGGAGGGGGUUGCUCCGAGAGGACCCUCCACGGUGGGAUGGGAUAAUCAAGGUAUGGAUGUUCUGAGCCCUAGACACGGGUCCCCCUCGUGUCACAGCCUCGGUUAGGACCUUGUACGUUAUGUCCAAACGUCAGGGUAGCAGAGGCAACCGGACCUGGGUUACAGUUGGGUAAGAAAAGGUACCAGAUUUGUGGGACGAAUAAUGCAAACGGACUAAACCUGGCCUCGGGUUUGAGCGAGGCUGGGUGGACCGGUAAGGGAAACCUCAAACACUAGUGGGCUGUCCGAUAACGGGAAAGGUCUGUGAGCAGAAUUCGAUCUCAUAUUUCUGGUACCCUCCAGGUUGUGGUCGGGCUAAGAGAAGGUGGCAGAUUUGGAUGCUAUUGACAC
rnacentral:misc_RNA from 1 species